UACGUAGGUGGCAAGCGUUGUCCGGAUUUACUGGGCGUAAAGAGCGCGCAGGCGGUCGUUCAAGUCGCGUGUGAAAGCCCCCGGCUCAACUGGGGAGGGUCACGCGAUACUGAUCGACUGGAAGGCAGGAGAGGGUAGUGGAAUUCCCGGUGUAGUGGUGAAAUGCGCAGAUAUCAGGAGGAACACCGGUGGCGAAGGCGGGUCUCUGGGCAGUAACUGACGCUGAGGAGCGAAAGCGUGGGGAGCGAACAGG
rnacentral:rRNA from 1 species